GGAAUUUUGGACAAUGGGCGAAAGCCUGAUCCAGCAAUGCCGCGUGAGUGAAGAAGGCCUUCGGGUUGUAAAGCUCUUUUGUCAGGGAAGAAACGGUGAGAGCUAAUAUCUUUUGCUAAUGACGGUACCUGAAGAAUAAGCACCGGCUAACUACGUGCCAGCAGCCGCGGUAAUACGUAGGGUGCAAGCGUUAAUCGGAAUUACUGGGCGUAAAGCGUGCGCAGGCGGUUUUGUAAGUCUGAUGUGAAAUCCCCGGGCUCAACCUGGGAAUUGCAUUGGAGACUGCAAGGCUAGAAUCUGGCAGAGGGGGGUAGAAUUCCACGUGUAGCAGUGAAAUGCGUAGAUAUGUGGAGGAACACCGAUGGCGAAGGCAGCCCCCUGGGUCAAGAUUGACGCUCAUGCACGAAAGCGUGGGGAGCAAACAGGAUUAGAUACCCCAG
rnacentral:rRNA from 1 species